GGAGGGGUGGCUGAGUGGACGAAGGCGGCAGACUCGAAAUCUGUUGUACUGCAUUGUGGUACCAGGGGUUCGAAUCCCUUCCCCUCCGCCA
rnacentral:tRNA from 1 species